UACGUAGGGUGCAGGCGUUAAUCGGAAUUACUGGGCGUAAGGCGUGCGCAGGCGGUUUGCUAAGACAGGUGUGAAAUCCCCGGGCUUAACCUGGGAACUGCGCUUGUAACUGGCAAGCUAGAGUGUGGCAGAGGGGGGUGGAAUUCCAGGUGUAGCAGUGAAAUGCGUAGAUAUCUGGAGGAACACCGAUGGCGAAGGCAGCCCCCUGGGCUAACACUGACGCUCAUGCACGAAAGCGUGGGGAGCAAACAGG
rnacentral:rRNA from 1 species